GCGCCCGUAGCUCAGUCGGUAGAGCGGUGGAACGGUGAUCCACAGGGUUCAAGUCCCGGCGGUCGCU